GACGAACGCUGGCGGCGUGCUUAACACAUGCAAGUCGAACGGAAAGGCCCUGCUUUUGUGGUGUGCUCGAGUGGCGAACGUGUGUGUAACACGUGAGUAACCUGCCCUUGACUUUGGGAUAACUUCAGGAAACUGGGGCUAAUACCAGAUAGGAGCUCCUGCGGCAUGGGGGUGGUUGGAAAGUUUCGGCGGUUGGGGAUGGACUCCCGGCUUAUCAGCUGGUGGGGGGGGGAGUGGCUUACCAAGGCUUUGACGGGUGGCCGGCCUGAGUGGGUGACCGGCAACAUUGGGCCUGAGAUACGGCCAAGACUCCACCGGGAGGAAGCGGUGGGGAAUAUUGAACAAUGGGCGGAAGCCUGAUGAAGCAACGCCGCGUGCGGGAUACCGGCCUUCGGGUUGUAAACCGCUUUCGCCUGUAACGAAGCGUGAGUGACGGUAAUGGGUAAAGAAGCACCGGCUAACUACGUG
rnacentral:rRNA from 1 species